rnacentral:rRNA from 1 species
AGUGAACGCUGGCGGUAGGCCUAACACAUGCAAGUCGAACGGCAGCACAGUAAGAGCUUGCUCUGACGGGUGGCGAGUGGCGGACGGGUGAGGAAAACAUCGUAAUCUACUUUUUCGUGUGGGUUAACGUAGCUAAACUUACUCUAAUACCGCAUACGACCUACGGGUGAAAGCAGGGGAUCGUCGGACCUUGCGCGAUUGAAUGAGCCGAUGUCGGAUUAGCUAGUUGGCGGGUUAAUUGCCCACUAAGGGGACGAUCCGUAGCUGGUCUGUGAGGAUGGUAAGCGACACUGGAACUUAGCCAGGGUCAAGACUACUAAGAGAGGCCGCAGUGUGGAAUAUUGGACAAUGGGCGCAAGCCUGAUCCAGCCAUCGCAAGUGGGUGGAGACGGCGUUCCGGUUGUAAAGACGGUUUGUUGGGAAAGAAAAGCAGCCGGUUAAUACCCAGCUGUUCUGACGGUAACCAAAGAAUAAGCACCGGCUAACUUCGUG